rnacentral:tRNA from 1 species
GGCCGGUUAGCACAAUUGGUAGUGUGUCUGACUACGAUGACUCUAAAGGGUCUUAGUUCAUCAGGAGGUUGCGGGUUCGAGCCCCGUGCUGGUCA